CUACGGGAGGCUGCAGUGGGGAAUAUUGCACAAUGGGCGCAAGCCUGAUGCAGCUAUGCCGCGUGUAUGAAGAAGGCCUUCGGGUUGUAAAGUACUUUCAGCGGGGAGGAAGGGAGUAAAGUUAAUACCUUUGCUCAUUGACGUUACCCGCAGAAGAAGCACCGGCUAACUCCGUGCCAGCAGCCGCGGUAAUACGGAGGGUGCAAGCGUUAAUCGGAAUUACUGGGCGUAAAGCGCACGCAGGCGGUUUGUUAAGUCAGAUGUGAAAUCCCCGGGCUCAACCUGGGAACUGCAUCUGAUACUGGCAAGCUUUAGUCUCGUAGAGGGGGGUAGAAUUCCAGGUGUAGCGGUGAAAUGCGUAGAGAUCUGGAGGAAUACCGGUGGCGAAGGCGGCCCCCUGGACGAAGACUGACGCUCAGGUGCGAAAGCGUGGGGAGCAAACAGGAUUAGAUACCCGGGUAGUC
rnacentral:rRNA from 1 species